rnacentral:lncRNA from 1 species
UCUAUUUUAAAAAGAGCAACAGAAUAACAAUUACUGAAGGGCUGUUUCCUAAAAUUACUCUCUGGUUGGUAUUUCUCAGUUUUCAAAUGUCACGAGAAAUAUGCUGGCUGUCACUUACUCUGCCUUAAAGCAUUAACAAAGAAUACCACUGAAAAACAAAGGCAUUCAUACAAGGAAGUGAACAUCCUAAGCACAUAAGUAUGUUCUUAAGAGGGACACUAAAAAAGGAAACCCCAAGAAAAAAAAUAAAAACUGAACAGAAGUUCCUAACUUUAGUAAUAUUAUAUACUACCCCCCCCCAAAAAAACUGCCCAUGAGUUGAGAUUUAUCAAUUUUAUAUCUAGAAACCCUACAUAUUCAGGACUCCCUGACCUUGGGUGGCGGAGGGACACUAGGAAAGGCAAGAGAAAAAGGAAUUUUCUACCACCUUUAUAGAAAUAUUCAGUUUUUUUGGUGAAAUUUAGGUUUGAUAUAGGAGUUCUUGUUCUCUAAGUAAGUUUCCCAUUUGCCAGAAAUUUUAAGCAGCAUUGAUUUUUUCAAUUAGCUUCUGAUAUGCUACACUCUGGCAUAGGGGUGUUAAACUCACGACAUUGCAGAAGGGUUUGCACUUUUUCCUUAUUUUCACUACUUGGCAUUGUCUAUCAAAGAGUAGCACAUCCUGCAAAACCAACAAGAGGCAUGGGCUAAGGAGGGAGAAGCAAGCCCAAAAUAUCUAGCAAGCAUGUCUUCAUUUGCACAAUUUAGCUUUUUCACAAGAAAUAACAAGGGGACUGGUAUUUUCUGUAUCAUAGGGCUCAUAGAUGGACUUGUAAAAAAAUCACAUUAUGAUCACUUAGCAUUAGGUAACAUUUAAGCAAUUUUGGGCGCCUAACACUUGAAGGACUGAUGAUUUCAAAUGGACAAUAACUUUGGUUUAAAUUCCAACAUUUUAUAGAAUUGCAUGGUUUCAAAUUCACCAUAAAGAAAAUGCCUCUUUUGAGCAUCAAUUCAAAGAGCUAUUUAGCAUUAAGGAACCUCAUUAGCUGUACAACUCAUGAUGGUGUUAAUUAGGAAAGGAGCUAGAGAAAAAAAAAUCCAUCGCUGAAGCCUUGAUACAUUAUUUAAAACUCACUAUUAACCUGAUGAACUAUUUUUUUCCGGGGAAGUGCUAAUGACAUGAGCUGGCAAAAAAUUUUACUAGUUCCUUAAUAAUAAAUCAUUUGAGGGAAAAUUGCAACUUGGUAUGGACCUCACCGAGCCCCUCGCCAAUUCAAUCAGGCCCUCCUUUGAUAAUUUAACAACAAAUUCCUGUCUGGAAUCAUCCAUUCAAGUGCCUUUUUAAAUGAAUCCCAUUUCAAUUUUUUAAUAAAGUACUACCAGUAGAUCUGCAAGUUGAGGAAAGCAGCUCAGGUGACACACUUGGCACCAAAAAGAAUACUGAGUGGGUCGAAAUCCUGCCUGGGCAGACAAUAGAAGAGGAGACGAAGAAGGUGACUAGACUUAGGGACUUCAAGAAGAGCAAGCACUGAAAAGAGCAGUUUAACUACCUCGGACAGUAAGCAACAAGCCUGCAGUCCCCAGAUAAUCGGCCCAGAGGGAGCUGAAAGGAUGGAGUUGGAAAGGGGAACCACAGAGCCCGGGAAGAAGGAGCGACCAGGAUGGAGCGCAAACGAGUGACAGGCAAGGAGCCCAAAGGGACCACACCAAUGCAACAGGUGGUGAUGAAACUCCUGCUCUGGUCCGGGCUACCGGUGAACAGCGUCCAGCGGCCGGGCCCCCAACCUCCUUCCUGAGCCUGAACAUCCCCCCAACCCCGCCUUGAGAAUUCAGCGAAGAGUAAAAGCUGGAGAAAAUUGCGUGUCUCAGGCUAAGCAGAGCAAAGUGGGGUGACGGCUCCCCCGCUAGGAACAGAGAUGCCCUUAGGGAACCCCCUGAUGGAAGAGCUCCCGGCUUAAGAAGGUCACCACUCCCUUACACUCAGCCCCCCUCAAUCUGAUUCCCUGCUAUGCCUGCCAUCACCACUGGCCAGUUUUACCACAUAUUUCUCAAGAUCCAAGGCACAAUAGGCAUAAAGUUGUCCUGAAAAGGACAAGAGGAGUGUCAGAAGUAGGAAUGGCAGUCAAAGGAGCUUGGUCUGGCAGCAGAAAGCUGAAAUGACAGGCAAGCACAAAAUAUAUUAAUGAGACAAAGCUAU